rnacentral:misc_RNA from 1 species
GAAAUGCGAUAAGUAGUGUGAAUUGCAGAAUUCAGUGAAUCAUCGAAUCUUUGAACGCACAUUGCGCCCCUUGGUAUUCCAUGGGGCAUGCCUGUUCGAGCGUCAUUUGUACCUUCAAGCUAUGCUUGGUGUUGGGUGUCUGUCUAUGCCUUUGUGCCUAGACUCGCCCUAAAUACAUUGGCAGCUAAUAUAUUUGUUUCAAGCGCAGCACAAUUUGCCUUGGAGCCUACUAUUAUUCGCUUCCAUGAAGACCAUUUAACACUUUUGACCUCGGAUCAGGUAGGGAUACCCGCUGAACUUAA